UACGUAGGGUGCAAGCGUUAAUCGGAAUACUGGGCGUAAGGCGUGCGCAGGCGGUUUUGUAAGUUUGUCGUGAAAGCCCCGGGCUCAACCUGGGAAUUGCGAUGAAGACUGCAAGGCUUGAAUCUGGCAGAGGGGGGUAGAAUUCCACGUGUAGCAGGUGAAAUGCGUAGAGAUGACGGAGGAACACCGAUGGCGAAGGCAGCCCCCUGGGUCAAGAUUGACGCUCGAUGCACGAAAGCGUGGGGAGCAAACAGG
rnacentral:rRNA from 1 species